rnacentral:rRNA from 1 species
GACGAACGCUGGCGGCGUGCCUAAUACAUGCAAGUCGAGCGAGACUCUUCGGAGUCUAGCGGCGGACGGGUGAGUAACACGUGGGCAACCUGCCUGUAAGACUGGGAUAACACCGGGAAACCGGUGCUAAUACCGGAUAAUCCUUUUCCUCUCAUGAGGAAAAGCUGAAAGUCGGUUUCGGCUGACACUUACAGAUGGGCCCGCGGCGCAUUAGCUAGUUGGUGAGGUAACGGCUCACCAAGGCGACGAUGCGUAGCCGACCUGAGAGGGUGAUCGGCCACACUGGGACUGAGCCACGGCCCAGACUCCUACGGGAGUCAGCAGGAGGGAAUCUUCCACAAUGGACGAAAGUCUGAUGGAGCAACGCCGCGUGAGCGAUGAAGGCCUUCGGGUCGUAAAGCUCUGUUGUUAGGGAAGAACAAGUACCGGAGUAACUGCCGGUACCUUGACGGUACCUAACCAGAAAGCCACGGCUAACUACGUGCCAGCCGCCGCCGUAAAAC